rnacentral:lncRNA from 1 species
GUGGCCAUGGCUACAGCAGCACAGCGUGUAAUCUGGAUGUCAUGACAGGUGAACGAUCUUAUCUGGCCUGAAGUCCUAUGGCGGCAAUGCACGACCACAUUGAGGAGGCUGAGCUUCAGGGCAAGAGCCUUUAUGGAAAGGGCAGUAACAGGCACAAGGAGGACCCAUUGAAGGAGGGAUUGGAUCCAGUUCAUCUGAAUGCUGUAAUUGGUUACAUCCUCCAGCAAGUUCACGAUGACAACUGUGCAGCUCAAAAGCAGCCUGUCCUCCAUGCUAAGCAGGGAGAUUAAGUAGCCUGGGAAGCAGGUGGUCCUGUAAAUACAGGGUGUUUUUUUUAGCUGCACCAAAUUUUUUAAAUUAGCAAAAUAUAUAUCUUCGUCACGUUAGCUUUACCAUUCGAGUGUACGGAUUGGCAGCCUCUAGAUACAGAGCAAUUUAGUCACUUAAGUGUGUAAUUAGUGAAGUUAAGCUAAUUAACUUUCAGAUUAUCAACUAGAGGUGGCUACAACAAAUGAGUACUUUGGGGCCUGUCGUCGACACUACCUAUCCCAACGAUCAAAUUUUGAAUAGCAGAGUUCAUGUGGGAGCUUCACUAACAAUUAGUUCCCCUUGGCAGGCUCCUUGAAACCGAAACUGGCCGCAAAAAGAGCAUCUGUGUUGUCGAUGUCACCGCCCCCUUGCCUUUCGUAACAUCUCCGAGGUAAGCUCCAGUGCGGCCCCGCGAACAGCUUGCAUUAUUUCCUUUCUAUCUGCGGCGUUUGCAGUCGACGCUACAGACUGAUAUGAUGCCGUGCCUGCAGUAUCUAAAAGCCCAAUUUAAGGAGCAGGGUUGGUGCUACAGCGCAACAUGGUGCGCGACAGAAUGACGAAGUAAAUUUGGCGGCCCACCGGCAUUGAAGUGCUAGGCCAACGCUGCAGACAGCAAGGAGAUAACGCAAGCUGCUUGUUGGGCUGGACCGGCGGUGACGUCGGAGACGUGACAAAAGGCGGGGGGUGGGGGGGGCGACAACACAGAUGCUCUUUUUGCAGCCAGUUUCGGCUUAAAGGAGCCUGCAAAGGGGAACUAAUUGUUCGCGUCGCUCCCACAUGAACUAGGCUAUUCAAAAUUUGAUUGUUGGGAUAGGUAGUACUCAAUUGUACUCAGCACUCAUUUGCUGUAGCCACCUAUUGUUAAUAAUUAGAAAGUUAAUUAGUGUAACUUGAGUAAUUACGCACGUAAGUGCUGAAAUUGCUAUGUCUCUAGAG